AAGUGCAAUAAUAAGGGGCAGGCCCCUUUGACUUACAGUCAGUGAUGCCUCAAGCUAUCUUCAGUAUCCAUAAAUAGGCCUCAUUUUUUUCCCAUUUUUUUCUCCCAAAUGUAGGCUCAGCAGAAGACUCAAAAUACAUUCCUGCAGCCUUUCAGAUGGUGCGCAGAGCAUCCUUGCUGUGCCAGCAGGGAUGGGAGGAACAGUGACCUGGGCCAGGCAUUUGCACAUGCUCCAGCCCCUGCUUUGCUUCCUCCUGUUGCCCUCCAGCAGCCUCCUGCUCUGUGUUUUCAUAAAGCUUCCAGCAACAGCUUGAACACAUAUACUGAAUGAAGCAGGCUACCAGGUGAUUCCCAUAAAAGAGAUGAAGCCCAACCUGAGCAUAAGUGACACGUAUUUUGCUUCUGUUUUAAGACCUGGGAAGCCCUGGUUCACCCCAUCCUACAGGGGUGCUCCCUGGGGCUAGGGGUGCAAGGAGGGCGGCUAGGGACCAGCUGGGGUCACUGCACGGCCAGGUGCCACCUGUCAUCCUCCAUCCCACACAGUCGUCCCAAGCAGGAUGUCCCAAUCGCGGGGGCAUUGCUCCCCUCUGCCGUCUCUAUUGCUCUGCAGCUCUGCAUCCUGCUCUCCUGUUGCUCAGAGAUGUGGAGGCAGUUGCUAAGAGACACCGAAACGUCAGUAUCUGGCCCUCAAGGAAAAAAAAAAAAAAAGAGAAAGAGAGAGACAAGGGAGGACGAGGAGGAGGAGGGGAGGAAGGAGGUGGGGAAAGACCUGCUCUGAUUGCCAGGCUCGGCAGCAGCCUUGGCUGCAGGAGCUGCUCACCCAACUUGACGGACCCCCGUCUCACCGCCCGAGCCCAGCGACUGCUGAUCUGAGCCCCUCUUGUCUCCAGGCAGCGUGAGUACCCAGGGAUCCCGCAGUCCCCCGGCACUAUUGGAGGGAUUGGCGGCCGUGACAGGGAAGGAGGGCAGCAGGGGCGGUGGUUU